AUUCAUAGAGUCUCAGAAGGGUAGACAGUUGAUAAAGUACAAGAACUAUACUUAUAACUGUGUGUACGCGCCUCAAUCUAGUGUAAGCUGUGGGAAAGAGAGGUGGGCUUGUUCAACCCACUACUGCAAGGGAUGUCGAGCAACCAUGCAUGUAUUGGGAAAUAGGAUUGUAGCACUGAAGAACCAACACACGCACCCACCAAAAAGAAUAAAAAAGCUUUAAACAUUUUUAAAAAGUUUUAAAUUUGUGACGUCGCGAAAGGGGAACUUAAUGAUACUUCACAACAAUUACAGCUAUUUUCCAAGACGAGUGAACAGUUCGAAAACAAGAUGGCUGUGUUCUACACAUCAUAACAAAGACAGUUUCAAGUUUGCAACAUCAAAAAGGGGGAAGCCGUUGAUUCACUACAGGAACUACAGCUAUUUCGCAAAACGCUCGAUAGGGUUCAAAACACGUUGGGUGUGCUCCACACAUCACUCCAAAAAUUGUCGCGCCUCCAUUUACACCAUUGACGGUGAUAUCGUUCAUGUUAAAUUUGAACACAACCAUCCCCCACCAGUUUGAUAUGAUUUAAUUGAAUAAUUAAAUACCUGCAUUGAAAUAAUUCCUCUUUUCUGGUAGAGGAAUUUGCCAAUAGAAUAUGUCCAAAAGUGUUUAAGAAUAUUUCAAAGUAGUGGGACAGUACUGAAUUACAUCUAUGAAACAAUAAUGGUUCUAUUGUAGAUAAAUUUACAUUUGUGACAUCUCAACGUGGCAGGCGCAUUCCAGUAUAAAGGUUACACAAACUUCAUCUGCCGGUUUUAAGAUUCGUUGGUUCUGCUCGACCAAUCACUAUAUCACUAUAAAGAAUGUCACCUACAUUUAUACUGUUGAAGACGAAAUUGUUUUGUUAAAAACAAGCAAAUCCGUCCUCCUCUUAAAACGUAACUGGUUACGUUUAUACAUUUCUUUGUAUUGCUAAGUUGUUAAA
rnacentral:lncRNA from 1 species